CACUCCUGCGGGAGGCAGCAGUGGGGAAUAUUGGACAAUGGGCGCAAGCCUGAUCCAGCCAUGCCGCGUGAGUGAUGAAGGCCCUAGGGUUGUAAAGCUCUUUCACCGGUGAAGAUAAUGACGGUAACCGGAGAAGAAGCCCCGGCUAACUUCGUGCCAGCAGCCGCGGUAAUACGAAGGGGGCUAGCGUUGUUCGGAUUUACUGGGCGUAAAGCGCACGUAGGCGGACUAUUAAGUCAGGGGUGAAAUCCCGGGGCUCAACCCCGGAACUGCCUUUGAUACUGGUAGUCUUGAGUUCGAGAGAGGUGAGUGGAAUUCCGAGUGUAGAGGUGAAAUUCGUAGAUAUUCGGAGGAACACCAGUGGCGAAGGCGGCUCACUGGCUCGAUACUGACGCUGAGGUGCGAAAGCGUGGGGAGCAAACAGGAGUAGAAACCCCUGUAGUCCCAUGA
rnacentral:rRNA from 1 species